rnacentral:lncRNA from 1 species
CUUUGCUACAGCAUUUAUUACAGCUGCCCAAUGGGUGGGAUGAUCUUGUUCCCACUGAAACAAAGUUCAAUUUGAGCUAAGAAUCUGCUCUCAUUUUUGUAGCAAUCCUUACAAGGUAUCUUUCAAGGAUCCUCAGCCAGAGUGAACAUGAAGAGAGGUUUGAGUUAGACGCAUUUACUGCUCUGUGUGCCAUGGUAGUCUAAAACAUUGAAAUAUGGAUAUCCUUCACCUGCCAGCAGUGGGAUUAAGUCUGCACGUCAACAUUGAUUAUAGGGUUAAGAAUAUUGCACCAGCCCCACCAAAGACAAGAACCAGCACAUUUUUCCUGCGGGAGUAGACUUCUGAAAGCAGCAGUCAGAUUCUUC